GGAUUAGAUACCCUGGUAGUCCACGCCGUAAACGAUGGAUACUAGUUGUUUGGGGAGUUAACCCCCUGAGUGACGCAGCUAACGCAUUAAGUAUCCCGCCUGGGGAGUACGGUCGCAAGGCUAAAACUCAAAGGAAUUGACGGGGGCCCGCACAAGCGGUGGAGUAUGUGGUUUAAUUCGAAGCAACGCGCAGAACCUUACCUUCCCUUGACAUCCCGGGACAACCUCAGAGAUGAGGCUUUCUCUUCGGAGACUCGGUGACAGAUGCUGCAUGGCUGUCGUCAGCUCGUGCCG
rnacentral:rRNA from 1 species